rnacentral:rRNA from 1 species
UACGUAGGGUGCAAGCGUUAAUCGGAAUUACUGGGCGUAAAGCGUGCGCAGGCGGUUUUGUAAGUCAGAUGUGAAAUCCCCGGGCUUAACCUGGGAAUUGCGGUUGAAACUGGCGAACUAGAAUCUGGCAGAGGGGGGUGGAAUUCCACGUGUAGCAGUGAAAUGCGUAGAGAUGUGGAGGAACACCGAUGGCGAAGGCAGCCCCCUGGGCUAAGAUUGACGCUCAGGCACGAAAGCGUGGGGAGCAAACAGG